UACAGAGCCAAACUGGCCCUCUGG
rnacentral:piRNA from 1 species